UACGUAGGGUGCAAGCGUUGUCCGGAAUUAUUGGGCGUAAAGAGCUCGUAGGCGGUCUGUCGCGUCGGCUGUGAAAACCCGGGGCUCAACCCCGGGCCUGCAGUCGAUACGGGCAGACUAGAGUGUGGUAGGGGAGACUGGAAUUCCUGGUGUAGCGGUGAAAUGCGCAGAUAUCAGGAGGAACACCGGUGGCGAAGGCGGUUCUCUGGGCAUGUCCUGACGCUGAGGAGCGAAAGUGUGGGGAGCGAACAGG
rnacentral:rRNA from 1 species